GCAUUACUGGAAUACCUCCCAACCCUUGGAAGUCAUGACACGUGACGUCACUCAACCACAGUCCACACACAGUUUCCGCAGUCCACACUUCUCUAGUAAACUAUAUAGUCAGGUUACUGCAUCCACCGAGAAAAAGAAAAUAUGCCACCUAAGAAACGGCCUUCCAUUGGGCAAAAGACUUCAAGAGCCAAAAGGAAUGCAGCAUACAGGGCGGUGGAAACAUCAGAGCAGAGGGAGGCCAGACUGGAAGCCCAAAGGACAAGAGUUGCUGCAUCCAGAGCAGCGGAAGUACAGAAACAGAGGGAGGCCAAACUGAUAAAUCUGAAGAAUAGAGUAGCUGCAUCUACAUCAGCAGAGGGACCUUAACAAGAGGCAGGCCAGACUGUUAGUCCAGAGGACAAGAACUGGUACUUCCAGAUCAGCAGAAGAAACUGAACAGAGGGAGCCGAGAGUGCGAGACGAAAGAACAAACAGUGGGACUAUACUGUUCAACAAGAGAGGCCUCAGAGAAGAGAGGCCUGGGAAGACCUGGGGGGAAGAAGACUCUAGGAGAAGACCGUCGGAACAUCAUUUCAAUAAUUAUUAAGCCGGUAACACAGAACAGUGAAAUUUUUAAAACUUUCUGGACGGAUCACAUUUUUUUUGAAGGUGGUCCCAAAUCUAUGUUAUUUGAAACUUUAUGGUUUUAUAUA